GUGCUUGCUUCCGCAGCACCUAUACUAACUUGGAACAAUACAGAGAAGAUUAGCAUGGCCCCUGCGAAAGGAUGACAUGCAAAUCUGUGAAGCGUUCCCUAUUUAA